GGUUGAUCCUGCCAGUAGUCAUAUGCUUGUCCCAAAGAUUAAGCCAUGCAUGUCUAAGUAUAAAUCCUUGUACGGUGAAACUGCGAAUGGCUCAUUAUAUCAGUUAUAAUUUACUUGAUGAUCUCUUUACUACUUGGAUAACCGUGGUAAUUCUAGAGCUAAUACAUGCAAAGAGCCCGACUUCUGGAAGGGCUGUAUUUAUUAGAUAAAACCAAUGCCAGCAAUGGCGCUUGGUGAGUCAUGAUAACUGCGCGGAUCGCAUGGCCUUGCGCCGGCGACGCUUCAUUCAAAUU
rnacentral:rRNA from 1 species